CCCACGUGUGUGAGCUCACACGCAUGUGCCCGUGAGCACCUGGGUGUGCGCGGAACACAACCAAUAGGAGGUAGAUAUCCAGAAAGAGAUUUAUUCUGAGGACUCGGCUCUCGUGAUUCUGGAGGCUGACCCGUCCCAGGAUCUGCAGUCAGCGAGCUGGAGACCCUGCAGGGCCUGUGGCUCAGUUUCAGUCUGAGUCCAAAGGCCCGAGACCCAGGAAGAGCCGAUGUUUCGGUUCAAGUCCAAAGGCAGGAAAAACUGAUGUCCCAGCUCAAGGGCAGUCAGGCAGGAGGAGUUCCCUCUUACAUCAAGAAGAAACCUCCAGACUCUCACAGACACAUCCAGAACCAUGUUUGGCCAAAUAUCUGGGCCCUUUGUAACCCAGUCAAGUUGACACAUAAAAUUAAUCAUCUCAGGAAAACCCAAAACCUGAGAACAUUCUAGGUCCCCAGGACGUGCAGCUGCCUCCCGUCCCAUCCCAGACCCUGCCCAUUGGGGUCCUUGGGCGCCACUGAGCUCCCUUCAGCCCCUCCACAAGCGUCCUCCAGGCCUUUACACAUGCGGGGCCUGCUGCCGGGUACCCUCUUUCCCCCAGCCAACCUUCCCUUCCCUACCUCGGCCCGAUCCUUCAGUUGUAGCUUCAACCCCACCCUCUGGGAGGCCCUCGGGACCCCCUGCUCCUUGGGCUUGGGCGGGCGCUGUCUCCGGUGCUGCCCCAGGGCCCCAUGCCUCCUCCAGGCCCAGCAGGAUGGUGACAUGUCAGGGGCUUUGGAAGUAGCAUGCUCAGCAUCAGCUCCUUCAAUAAAGGAGGCACCAAAACCGUCGCAAAUGAACCAGGAGCUACGAGGACGCUUGGAGCAG